GUGGGGAAUAUUGGACAAUGGGCGCAAGCCUGAUCCAGCCAUGCCGCGUGAGUGAUGAAGGCCUUAGGGUUGUAAAGCUCUUUUGUCCGGGAAGAUAAUGACUGUACCGGAAGAAUAAGCCCCGGCUAACUUCGUGCCAGCAGCCGCGGUAAUACGAAGGGGGCUAGCGUUGUUCGGAAUCACUGGGCGUAAAGCGCACGUAGGCGGACCAUUAAGUCAGGGGUGAAAGCCUGGAGCUCAACUCCAGAACUGCCUUUGAUACUGAUGGUCUCGAGUUCGGAAGAGGUUGGUGGAACUGCGAGUGUAGAGGUGAAAUUCGUAGAUAUUCGCAAGAACACCAGUGGCGAAGGCGGCCAACUGGUCCGAUACUGACGCUGAGGUGCGAAAGCGUGGGGAGCAAACAGGAUUAGAUACCAUGGUAGUCC
rnacentral:rRNA from 1 species